rnacentral:rRNA from 1 species
AAGAAGCGAAGCGGUGACGUGGAGCAAACCUCAGAAAAGCCAAUCUCAGUUCGGAUUGUAGGCUGCAACUCGCCUACAUGAAGUUGGAAUCGCUAGUAAUCGCGAAUCAGAAUGUCGCGGUGAAUACGUUCCCGGGUCUUGUACACACCGCCCGUCACACCACGAGAGUUUACAACACCCGAAGUCAGUGGCCUAACCGCAAGGAGGGAGCUGCCUAAGGUGGGGUAGAUGAUUGGGGUGAAGUCGUAACAAGGUAAC